ACUGAACUCUCAGCUUGAGGCAGAACUGAGCACAUUCGUGCAGGGGAUUCCAUGCCUCAUGCAGCUCUCCAGUCUGCUCUGGGUGCUCCUGGCCUUCACCUUCUCUGGAUCUGGUGUGGCCCAGAAAGUUACCCAAGACCAGCCAUACAUAACCAGUCAAAUAGGGCAAUCUGUCAUUCUGAACUGUCGGUAUGAAGUAAGGUCGAGUGGGUACACGCACUACCUUUUUUGGUAUAAGCAACUUCCCAGUGGAGAGAUGACUUUCCUUAUUCGUCAGGAAUCUUCUGGCCCGAAUGCAAGGAAUGGCCGCUACUCUGUAAACUUUCAGAGAGCACGGAACUCCAUCAGCCUCACCAUUUCAGCCUUACAGUUGGAAGACUCCGCAAAGUACUUUUGUGCAGUCUGGGAACUCACAGUGCUUGAAGUAAUGAGAAAAGCUGUACAAAAACCCUAG